UACUCCCGCCGGCGACCGGCGCACGGGUGAGUAACACGUAUGAAACCUGCCCGUAGCAGGGGGAUAAGCGGAAGAAAUUCCGUCUAAUACCGCGUAACAACCCGAGGAGGCAUCUCCUCGGGUUUUAAAGGAAGCGAUUCCGGCUACGGAUGGUCAUGCGUCGCAUUAGCUAGUUGGCGGGGUAACGGCCCACCAAGGCGACGAUGCGUAGGGGUUCUGAGAGGAAGGUCCCCCACACUGGUACUGAGACACGGACCAGACUCCUACGGAAGGCAGCAG
rnacentral:rRNA from 1 species